GACGUAGGGGGCCAGCGUUGUUCGGAAUUACUGGGUGUAAAGGGUUCGUAGGCGGUGCGGCAAGUUGGGAGUGAAAUCUCUGGGCUUAACCCAGAGGCUGCUUCCAAAACUGCUGUGCUUGAGUGUGGGAGAGGCGCGUGGAAUUGCAGGUGUAGCGGUGAAAUGCGUAGAUAUCUGGAGGAAUACCGGUGGCGAAGGCGGCAUCCGGGACCGGCAUUGACGCGGAGGAGCGAAAGCCAGGGGAGCAAACGGG
rnacentral:rRNA from 1 species